AUUAAACGCUGGCGGCAUGCCUUACACAUGCAAGUCGAACGGCAGCACGGGGGCAACCCUGGUGGCGAGUGGCGGACGGGUGAGUAAAGCAUCGGAACGUAUCCUGGAGUGGGGGAUAACGUAGCGAAAGUUACGCUAAUACCGCAUAUUCUGUGUGCAGGAAAGCAGGGGAUCGCAAGACCUUGCGCUCUGGGAGCGGCCGAUGUCGGAUUAGCUAGUUGGUGGGGUAAAGGCCUACCAAGGCGACGAUCCGUAGCGGGUCUGAGAGGAUGAUCCGCCACACUGGGACUGAGACACGGCCCAGACUCCUACGGGAGGCAGCAGUGGGGAAUUUUGGACAAUGGGCGCAAGCCUGACGACGCAACGCCGCGUGGAGGAUGAAGAUCUUCGGGUUGUAAACUCCUUUCGAUCGAGACGAAUGGCCCUUGGGCUAACAUCCCGAGGGAGUGACGGUACCGAGAGAAGAAGCCCCCGGCUAAACUCCGUGCCAGCAGCCGCGGU
rnacentral:rRNA from 1 species